rnacentral:lncRNA from 1 species
GAAAAUGUACUCGUACUCCCCUUGUUCUAAAUGUUAUCUGUUCAUGCAGGAAUCUUCUGAGACAUCCAUCAUCCUAUCUGGUCCACAGUCAUUGAUCCACACCAUUUGCCACUGAGAUGUCAUCAUUUCUGUUUGCCUAUUUCUUCAGGUAUGGUGUUGUGCUCUCACUGUAAUGACAUGUCACAUAUAGGAGAAUUUACAUAAUGCCUAAUUCAAUGUAAAUGCCGUGUAAAUAGUUAUUAUAUUGUUUAGGGAACAGAGACAAGGAAAAAAGUCUGUACAUUUUCAGUUCAGAUGCAACCAGAUGGGUCAAAGGUUUACAUGUAAAGAAAUGAAAGCCACAAAAGAAUUGCAAGAAACUAUUGUGAGGUUUUGAAAAUCAUAAUAAUAGAUGGAGAGAAAAUCCUUUCUGUGUAUGUCACAAGGUUCAAAAACCAGGAAGUUAAUAUUGAUAUAUUAAAUCUAACAUAUAUGUAGCCUGGGUUCAGAAACUCACUUAUAGGUGUAUUCUCCACCAUUUCUACAUCAAUAUACCUGUAAAAGAAGUGCAUGGCAAUGUUGUUUAUAAUUGCUUUUUUUAAUAAAAGGAAUCCAUCAACAACAGAACAGAUAAAUAAACUAUAGUAUAGGUGUAUAGUUAAGAAUUUAACCUUGCCCAAAGAAGUCUGACCUUUGGGAGAUAAUCAAUAAAUCUGUAAAAUAUUGUACCCAAUAGGAGUAUAUUUGUUUGCAAGUAACUUUGGAACUUGUGAUCUAGAUAGUCUUAACACUGUGAUUUAGCAUGGAGGAUAAUCAAUAAGAAAACACCCUACAAUCUAAUAGAUAAAUAGGCAGAAGAUAUGAUCAUACAACUCACAAAAAGAGGAAAAUAUGAAUGGCUCUUAAUUUUAUAAAAGUAUGCUCAAACUUAUUCAUAAUAAGAGAAGUAUAGAUUUAAAUUUAAUUGGAGAGAUUGUUUUUCACCAUCAGAUUAAAGAUUCAAGUUUGUUAUUAAACUUGGUAAAGGUUUAGGGAAGUAGGUACUCUAUCUACUGGUGAGGAAGAAAAUUGUUAAAGCUUCAGUAAAAGGCAAUUUGACAAUAUCUAUUAAAAUUAGAAAUAUAUUUACUCAUUACUCCCAAGUUCUACAUGUAGUAAUUUAUUCUGUAGGUAUUUUCACACACCUAUGAAAAGACAUGUCUACAGGUUAUUUGUAGCAAUAUGACUUGUAAUAUUAAAAUAUUUGAAACAACAUAAAUCUUCACUUCUGAGCCAGGUAUAGUGGUGCACACUUGUAAUCCCAGCAACUCCAGAGGCUGAAACAGGAGGAUUGCAAAUUGGAAGCCAGUCUCAGUAAUUUAGCAAGGUCCUAAGCAACUUAAUGAGACUCUGUCUCAGAUUGAAAAACAAAAAGGGCUGCAGAUGUAACUUAGUGUUCAAGCACCACUGGAUUCAAUCCCCAGUACCAAAAAAUAAAUAAAUAAAAAUAAGAAUUUUUUUAAAAUCUCCAUUUAUGAUAGACUGAUUAAAUCAAUUUGAUACAUUACAAUCACAAAAAAUAUGUAGGAAUUCUUUGCUUACUGAUUAGAAUGGCCUUCAACUAUAUCUGUACAGAAUGGUAUAUAAAAUAUGUUACCAUUUGUGGAAAUAGUGGUGGUGAAGAUAAGAACAUAUAUUCUUAUUAGCCUAUAAGUGCUUACAAAUAUCUUUGGAAAGAUAUGCAAAACAUUUGUAAGAUUUGUUAUUGUCUUUGAGAAAUGUUUUGACCUGAGUGUCUGUGCCCCCCUCCAAAUUUUUUUUUAUUUGUUCUAAUUAGUUAUACAUGGCGGUAGAAUGCAUUUGGACGUAUUGUACACAAAUGGAGCACAACUUCUCAUUCCUCUGGCUGUCCCCAAAAUUUAUAUGUUGAAGUCUUUAUCCCCAAUGUGAUGGUAUUAGGAGGUGGGCCUUUGGGAGGCGAUUGGAUUUAGAUGAGGUUACAAGGGUGGAACCCUUCUGGUGGGAUUAAUGCCUGUAGGAGGAAGAGACACCAGAGCUUUCUCUUUCUAUUCUGUGAAGAUACCAUAAAAGAGGUAGCCUGUAAGCAAAAGUGGUCCCUCACCAGACAUGAGAGCUACUAACACUUCAAUCUUGGACUUCCUAGCUUCUAGAACUGUGAGAAAUAAAUUCUGUUGUGGUAUUUUGUUAUAGCAGUUUUGGGUGACUAAUACAGGGAAAAUUUUGAUGAAUGGGUGACAGGUGAAAAGGAGACCUUUUACCUUUAAAUUUUUAAAUUAUGGUGUAUGUAAUCACUAUCCAAAAAUAAACAGGGGGCUGGGGUUGUGGCUCAGUGGUAGAGCACUUUUCUAUCAUGUGUGAGGCCCUGGGCUCAAUCCUUAGCACCACAUAUAAAUAAAUAAAAUAAAGGUCCAUUGACAACUAAAAAAAACUUUAAAAAUAAAUAGGGUCUAUUUUGUAAUUUAAUUACUCAUUGAUAUAUUUUCAUUUUUAGGAUAAAAGAUAACAUCAAGAAAGAGAAAGAGAAGGAAAAAAGGGGAAACGAUUACAUAUGUCAUCGUUUUAAGGUAUCAUAUAGUUUUAGAAGAUUAUGAUGUAAUACUUUUGAUCAUUGGUUUGCGUUUUCAAUCAGUUUGGUUUGUCAAGAUCAUAAUCACAGUGUCCAUGGUGUUAAAGAGAAAAUUAUGUGUAUUAUUUUUUUCUUGUUAGUUUUAUCUACAAUAUAUAGAUAUUUUAAAAUUUACAUUGUCAUCUCUUAAAUAUCUGUAAUAAGAUAAAUAGAGUAGAUUUAUGUACUCCAAAACAGCAAAAAGACCUAUUGCAUUAUUUUCAAUCCAUGUACCUUCAAAGAGUAAUAUUCACUGAACAGUUACCUACUUUUAAAUUUUAUUUUUUUAAAAAUAUAUGUGUAACAUAGCUUCAUGUAUUGUCCUUGGAAUCAUUUAGUAUAGUUAAAAUACAGAAUUACCAGGUCCUUAGAAAAGAAACCUAUUGAAAAAUUUAAAAUAACUAUCAAAAUAAAUAUGAUAAAAAUGACAACAUUGGUUUUCAUCUUAUAUUUUAUCUUGUGUAUAAUAUUGUUGGGGUAAUAUGCACUCUUCCAAAUCAGGUGCUUAUAGAUACAUUAAGAAAUUAUUUUAGCUUGUUAAACCUGGUAUUCAAACUUGAAUACUUCAUAUUUAUAACUGUAACUAUAUUUCUGUUUGUAUUUGUCCAAACUUUUCUACGUGUUCCAAAAAGGCAGAGACUUCUAGAACAUAAAUGCUGUCUUAAGAGUACAGUUCUCUGAGACCCAGAACAGUGAUUAAUCUGUUUCAAAUUAGUAAACCUUGUAAGCCUCCCCAAAAGGAGACAAUGGUGUUUGAGUCAAACAUCAAAAGAUGAAUGGAUUCUAGUUGGCAGGAAAAAAGGGUAAGAGCAUUCCAGGCUGAGGGCAAAGCAUUAGCUGAGGCAAAAGGAGCAAAAGUCUAUUUUGGAUCAGAAAAUGUAUAGAUGAAACUACAAGGUAAGAGAUGGCAUGUAACAAAUGAGACCAGAGUAAAGUUUUGGGACUAGUUUGGAUUUUAUUCUGUGGGCAGCAGGAACAUUUGAACACUAAAAAUAGAAAAAAAAUGACAUUCUCUAAUCUCUUAUCUAGAAAGAUAUGUCAAUAUCAGAAUGAUUUGGAAGUAAUAACCUAUAAAAUGCAGUUGUGCCUUAAUGAAGAAGAGAUAUAUUAAUACAGCCAAUUAUAGAUCAAACUAAAGACAGUGACUGUGGGGUUGAUAAGGGAAGAAUAAAUGGAAGAAAUACUGUAUAGUUUGAAUCUGUAUGACCUGGUAUUUGGAUAUGGAAAGUUUGGAAGACAGUUUUGUAAAAAUUCAUUGUUUUAAUGGAAGAAAUCUUAUUAAAGGGGCAUCCCAAAUGUUUUUUUAAAGAGUUUUUUUCUUUUUUAAAAAAUUUAUUUAUUUGUUGUAAUUUGUUAUACAUGACAGUAGAAUGCAUUUCAAUUCAUAGUAUACAUACAUAGGAGCAUAAUUUUUCAUGUCUCUGAUUAUACACAAAGUAUAAUCACACCAUUUGUGUCUUCAUACAUGUACUUAGGGUAAUGAUGUCCAUCUCAUCCCACCAUUUUUCCAACCCCCAUGCCCCAUCCCUUUCCCCACCUCCCCUUUGCCCUUUCUAAAGUUCCUCCAUUUCUUCCAUGCUCCCCACUGAUCCGCAUUAUGGAUCAGCAUCCACAUAUCAGAGAAAACAUUCGGCCUUUUGUUUUGGGGGAUUGGCUUACUUCACUUAGCAUGAUAUUCUCCAACUCCAUCCAUUUACCUGCAAAUGCCAUAAUUUUAUUCUCUUUUAAUGCUGAGUAGUAUUCCAUUGUGUGUGUAUGUAUGUAUAUGUAUGUAUGUAUGUAUGUGUGUGUGUGUGUGUGUGUGUGUGUAUAUAUAUAUAUAUAUAUAUAUAUAUAUAUAUCAAUAUCACAUUUUCUUUAUCUAUUCAUCUAUUGAAGGGCAUCUGGGUUGGUUCCACAAUUUAGCUAUUGUGAACUGUGCUGCUAUAAACAUUGAUGUGGCUGUGUCACUGUAGUAUGCUGUUUUUAAGUCCUUUGGGUAUAAACCAAGGAAUGGGAUAUAGCUGGGUCAAAUGGUGUUUACAUUCCAAGUUUUCCAAGGAAUCUCCAUACUGCUUUCCAGAUUGGUUGCACCAAUUUUUAGUCCCACCAGCAAUGUAUUAGUGUACCUUUUCUCCACAUUCUUGUCAACCCUUAUUGUUGUUUGUAUUCUUAAUAGUGGACAUUAUGACUGGUGUGAGAUAAAAAUCUUAAGAGAAGUUUUGAUUUGCAUUUCUCUAAUUGCUAGAGAUGUUGAAUAGUUUUUUCAUAUAUUUGUUGAUUGAUUGUACAUCUUCUUCUGAGAAGUGUCUAUUCAGUUCCUUGGUCCAUUUAUUGAUUGGGUUAUUUAUUUUUUUUGGUGUUAAGAUUUUGAGUUCCUUUUUUCCCCCCCAUUGAUUUUGAUAUUUUAUGAAUUGUUUCUGAAGAUGGGGUAAGUUUCUUUUAUGAGAACAUUUAUCCUACCUUAAUUUUGUUUUUAUUUAUUUAUUUAUUUUUAUUGGUUAUAUAUAACAGAAGAAGCAUUUCAAUUCAUAUUAUGUGUAUAGAGCAUAAUUUUUCAUGUGUCUGGUUGUACACAAAGUAGAGUCACACCAUUCUUGCCUUCAUAUAUGUACUUAGGAUAAUGGUGUUCAUCUCAUUCCACCAUCUUUCCUACCCCCAUGCCCAAGAUUUUUGAGUUCUUUAUAUAUCCUAGAGAUUAGUGCUCUAUCUGAUGUGCAUGUGGUGAAAAUUUGCUCCCAUUCUGUAGGUUCUCUAUUCACCUCACUGAUUGUUUCUAUUGCUGAGAAGAAGCUUUUUAGUUUGAAUCCAUCCCGUUUAUUGAUUCUUGAUUUUAUUUAUUGUACUAUAGAGUCUUAUUAAGGAAGUUGGGGCCUAAUCUGACAUAAUGAAUAUUUAGGCCUACUUUUUCUUCUAUUAGGCACAUGAUGAUAUAAUGACAUGAUGAAUAUUUGGGCCUACUUUUUCUCCUAUUUCUUCUAUCUGGUUUAAUUCCUAGGUCCUUGAUACACUUUGAGUUGAGUUUUGUGCAUGGUAAGAGAUAGGGACUUAAUUUUAUUUUGUUGCAUAUGGAGUUCCAGUUUUCCUAGAACCAUUUGUUGAAGGGGCUUUUUUUUCUCCAAUAUAGGGUUUUGGCACCUUUGUCUAUAUGAGAUAACUGUAUUUAUGUGCAUGUGUCUCAGUGUCCUCUACUCUGUACCAUUGGUCUACAAGUCUAUUUUGGUGCCAGUACCAUGCUGUUUUGUUACUAUUGUUCUGUAGUAUAGUUUAAGGUCUAGUAUAGUGAUGCCACUUGCUUCACUCUUCUUGCUAAGGAUUACUAUUCUGAGCUUCUUAUUUUUUCAGAUGAAGUUCAUAACUGCUUUUUUUAUUUCUAUGAGAAACGUCAUUGGGAUUUUGAUUAGAAUUGUAUUAAAUCUGUAGAGAGCUUUUGGUAUUAUGGUCAUUUUGACAAUAUUAAUUCUGCCUAUCCAAGAACAAGGGAGAUCUUUUCAUCUUCUAAGGUCUUCUUUAAUUUCUUUCUUUAGUGUUCUGUACUUUUCAUUGUAGAGUUCUUUCACCUCUUAUGUUAAGUUAAUUCCCAAGUAUUUUUUCUUUGAGACUAUUAUAAAUGGGGUAUAAUUUUCCUAGUUUCUCUUUCAGAGGAUUUGUCACUGGUAUACAAAAAUGCCCUUGAUUUAUGGGUGUUUAUUUUAUAUCCUGCUACUUUGCUUGAAUUCAUUUAUUAGUUCUAGAAGUUUUCUGGUAGAAUUUUUUGGCUUCUCUAGGUAUGGAAUCAUGUCCUUGGCUAAUAGUGAUAGUUUGAGUUCUUCUUUUCCUAUCAGUAUCCCUUUAAUUUCUUUUGUCUGUCUAAUUGCUCUGGCUAGAGUUUCAAGAACUAUGUUAAAUAGAAGUGGUAAAAGAGGGCAUCCCUGUCUUGUUCCAGUUUUUAGAGGUAAUGCUUUCAGGUUUUCUCCAUUUAGAAUAAUGUUGGCCUUGGGCUUAGCAUAGAUGGCUUUUGCAAUGUUGAAAUAUGUUUCUGUUAUCCCUCAUUUUUCUAGUGUUUUGAACAUGAAGGGGUGCUGUAUUUUGUUGAAUGCUUUUUCUUCAUUGAUUGAGAUGAUCAUAUGAUUCUUAUGUUUAAAUCUACUGAUGUGAUAAGUUACAUUUAUUGAUUUCCAUAUGUUGAACCAACAUCCCUGGGAUGAACCUCACUUAAUCAUGGUGCACUAUCUUUUUGACAUUCUUUUAUAUUCAAUUUGACAGAACCUUAUUGAGAAUUUUUGCAUCUAUAUUCAUUAGAAAUAUUGGUCUGAAGUUUUCUUUCUUUGAUGUUUUAGAAUCAGCAUGAUAUUGGCCUCAUAAAAUGAGUUUGGAAGUGUUCCCUCUUUUUCUAUUUCAUGAAAUAAUCUGAGGAGUAUUGGUAUUAAUUCUCCUUUGAAGGUCUUGUAGAACUCAGCUGUGUAUCCAUCUGGUCCUGGGCUUUUCUUGGUUGUUAGGUUUCUGAUGCCAUCUUCUAUUUCAUUGCUUAAAAUUGAUCUGUUUAAAUUGUGUAUAUCAUCCUGAUUCACUUUCGGCAAAUCAUAGGACUCUAGAAAUUUGUCGAUGCCUUCAAUAUUUUCUACUCUAUUGGAGUACAAAUUUUCAAAAUAAUUUGUAAUUAUCUUCUGUAUUUCUGUAGUGUCCAUUAUGAUAUUUCCUUUUUCAUCAUGGAUAUUAGUAAUCUGAGUUUUCUCUCUCCUUCUCUUCAUUAGCAUGGCUAAGGGUUUAUCAAUUUUCUUUAUUUUUUCAAAAAACCAUAUUUUUUGUCAAUUUUUUAAAUUGUUUCAAUUUCAUUUAUUUCAGCUCUGAUUUUAAUUAUUUCCUGUCUUCUACUGCUUUUGGUGUCGAUUUGUUCUUCUUUUUCUAGGGCUUUGAGGUGUAAUGUUAGGUCAUUUAUUUGUUGACUUUUUCUUCUUUUAAAGAAUAAACUCCAUGCAAUGAACUCUGCUCUUAGUACUGCCUUCAGAGUGUCCAAGAGAUUUUGAUAUGUUGUAUCAAUGUUCUCAUUUACCUCUAAGAAUUUUUUAAUCUCCUCGUUGAUGUCUUUUGCAACCCAUUGUUCAUUCAAUAGCAUAUUAUUUAGAUUCCAGAUGUUGGAGUAGCUUCUAUUUAUUAUUUUAUCAUUGAUUUCUAAUUUCAUUCCAUUAUGAUCUGAUAGAAUGCAGGGUAGUAGUUCUACUUUUUUAUAUUUGGUAAGAGUUGCUUUGUGCCUCACAUGCAGAAGGCCCUGGGUUCAAUCCCCAGCACCACAUAAAAAAAAAAAAGAGUUGCUUUGUGGCAUAAUAUAUGUUCUGUUUUAGAGAAUGAUCCAUGUACUGCUGAGAAAAAAGUAUAUUCACUCAUUGAUGGAUGAAAUAUAUGUGUGUGUGUAUAUAUAUAUAUAUAUAUAUAUAUAUAUAUAUAUAUAUAUAUAUAUAUAUAUAUAUAUAAAAUGAUUGGGUUAUUUGUUUUUUUGGUGUUAAGAUUUUUUAGUUCCUUUUUUUUCCCCAUUGACUUUCAUAUUGUAUGAGUGGUUUCUGAAGAUGGGGUAAGUUUCUUUUAUGAGAACAUUUAUCCUACCUUAAUUUUGUUUUGAUUUACUUAUUAUUUAUUUAUUUUUAUUCUAAUUGGUUAUAUAUGACAGAAAAAUGCAUUUCAAUUUAUAUUAUGCAUAUACAGCAUAAUUUUUCAUGUGUCUGGUUAUAUAUAUAUAAUACCUAUAUAUAUAAAAAAUAGCUAUACAUAUAUAUAUAUAUAUAUAUAAAAUAGCCAUAUAUAUAUAUAUAUAUAUAUAUAUAUAUAUAUAUAUAGUGUUUUUAGAAACACUAUCUCCCUAUUGAAAUAAUCUUUUGCUUCCUGUAUUUGCUUAUGUAGUUCUUUAUCGAAUUGAUUUUAUAUAUAUAUAUAUAUAUAUAUAUAUAUAUAUAUAUAUAUAUAUAUAUAUAUAUAAUCUGUUAAGUCUAAGUUAUUGAUUGUAUUAUUGAGUUCUAUAGUUUCUUUGUUCAGCUUUUGUUUGGAAGAGCUAUCCAGUGGUGAAAGGGUGUGUUAAAGUCACCCAGCAUCUUGAACUUGAGAAGAAUUUGUUUGAUGAAUGUAUAUGCUCCAUUGUUUGGGCAUAUAUAUUUAUAAUUGUUAUGUCUUUUUGACAUAUGAUUCCCUUAAGCAGUAUAAAAUAUCCUCCUUUAUCCCUUUUGAUUAACUUUGGCUUGAAGUCUACUUUAUUUGAUAUGAUGAUGGAAACUUUUGCUUGUUUUCUCAGUCCAUGUGAGUGGUAUAUUUUUUUACCAACCUUUCACCUUCAGUCUGUGGCUGUCUUUUCCUAUGAGAUGAUUUUUUUGGAGACAUGAUAUUGUUUGGUCUUUUUUCUUUUAAAUCUAAUCUGCCAGUCUAUGUCUUUUGAUUGGUGAGUUUAGGCCAUUAACAUUCAGGGUUAUUAUUGAGACAGGAUUUUUAUUCCCAGUCAUUUUUGUUUAUUUUUGGUAUUUAAUAUGACUUGGUUUCUCCUUUGAUUGGUUUUCCCUUUAGUGUAAUACCUCCCUUUGCUGAUUUUCAUUUCUUUCUCCUAGAAUAUUUUGCCAAGGAUGUUCUGUAGUGCAGUCUUUCUAGUUGUAAAUUCUUUUAACUUUUGUUUAUCAUUUUGUUUUUAUUUCAUCAUCAAUCUAAAGCUUAAUUUUGCUCUAUAUAAGAUUCUUGGUUGGCAUCCAUUUUCUUUCAGAGCUUAGUAUAUGUUGUUACAGGUGCUUCUAGCUUUCAGGGUCUGGGCUGAAAAAUCUGCAGAUAACAUAAUUGGUUACCACCUAUAUGUAAUCUGAUUCCUUUCUCUAUGGCUUUUAAAUUUUUCUGUUUAUUCUGUAUGCUAGGCAUUUUCAGUAUAAUGUGCCUUGGUGAGGAUCUGUUGUAAUUUUGUACAUUUGGUAUCCUGUAAGCCUCCUGUAUUUGAUUUUCCAAUUCAUUCUUCAUGUUUGGAAAAUUUUCUGAUAUUAUUUCAUUAUAUAGAUUAUUCAUUCCUUUGGUUUGGAACUCUAUUCCUUCCUCUAUCCCAAUAACUCUUAAAUUUUGUUUUUUUUUUUAUGUUAUCCCAUAAUUCUUGAAUGUUCUGCUCAUGGUUUCUUACCAUCUUCACUGUGUGGUCAACAUUCUUUUCAAGAUUAUAUAUUUUGUCUUCAUUGUCUAAGGUUCUGUCUUCCAAAUUAUCUAAUCUGAUGGUGGUGCUUUCUGUUGAGUUUUUAAUUUGGUUUAUUGUUUCUUUCAUUUCAAGGAUUUCUUUUUGUUUUUUGUUUUUUUUAGAAACUCUAUCUCCCUAUUGAAAUAAUCUUUUGCUUCCUAUAUUUGCUUAUGUAGUUCUUUAUUGAAUUGAUCUUUUGCUGCCUGUAUUUGCUUUCUUAUAUUAUCCUUUAAUUCACAGAACAUUUUAAUUGUGUACAUCCUGAACACCUUCUCUGUAAUUUCUUCUGUUGUGCUGGCCAUAGAUCCUAAUAAAGUAGUAUCUUGGUUUGUUUGGGGCACUUUCUUCUCUUGUUUUUUCAUGUUGUUUGUAUCUUCCUUUCUAGCACUGUGGAUCUGAGGAAUUACAGUUUUUACCCUAUAGGCUUAUAGUGUCCCUGCAAGGUUCCAAUACCUUUCCUUUAAGGGGCAGAACAAUAUUAAUAGAUCUCAAUACAAACUAUAUACUACCUUAAACCAAAUAGCUGCUAUUAAGACAUUUCGGUUUUGUCACAAUAUACAGAAAUGGAGAGUUCAAUUAUUAUCUACAAUAUAAAUAGUAGGUUUGCAAAAGGGUCUACAGUUUCAGAUGGUGGACAAAGAUCUGGGGAUGAGGUGUAGAAUGAGAUAUUGAGGGGGUGGGGUGGGAGGUGAGGAUAUAGAUUUAUUAGAUCUUAGGAAGCAUGAAAGAGGAAUAUAGAGAGGUUGGUUAGUAUCAGGAGAAGAGAGAGAAAGUGAUUUGGGGGAGACAAGUAAGAGGGAAGACAAUAGAGUAUAGAAAACAAACAUAAAUAGUAAAAAAAAUUAAAAAUGUAAAAAUAGGAGAUAAGAGAAUAUACAACACAACUAUAACAUAUUAUUCACACAUCCCAGUCCUCAGUAGACUAAUUCAUGAAAAGUACUUGAUUUCACAAAUGUUGGGAAUGUGACAGUGGGAGAAGAGAGAGAAAAGAGAAAAAAAAAUUUUUUUUUGUAGGAAAAUACAAGGAUUGUUUUUGUUGGAGAUCAGUAUCUUUUCUGCUUCCCUUUUCAUCCAGUAGGUGGGGUUGUCUGUUGUUUGCUGGUAUCUCCACCCUCAUGAUGGUGAAGGUUAUUAGUAUGGGAGGGUUGGUCUUGGGGGUGGAGUUCCUGGAGGCAGGAUAAAGCACUUGCCAUUCUGAUGGGAGACUGCAUCCCAACUGUCUCCUUUGGGGCCCACUCUUGUGAUGUGGGCAUUUUAUCUCCUUAUAUGACCUGUAGACUUCACAAUUCCUGGUCUCUAAUUUAGUCUCAAAACUGUAUCUCACCACCUCCCUUUCUACUUCCCAAUGGGGAACCUUUCUCACCAGAGAUCUUUUGUGCUGUGCUCUGAGGGGUGUGCACCCUUCCUGCAGAGCUGUUUUAUUUUGGGCAGUUCAGGACCAGGUUUGGGAGCUAUAGACUGGCUGUGUAGCUGCAAACACUGUGCUGGGUUAGUGCUACUGGGUAGAGGCGGGAGUUGGGGGCUAUAGGUACCUUGAUAUUGCUUCUAUGCACCAGCUGGUGUCCCAAGCUGGGAGUUGUCCCAAGCUGGGAGUUGCCCCAACUAAAGAUGAUCCCAAGAUGGAGGUAGCUGCUUUAAUUGAUGGGGUGUUGGAUGGGGUGGGGUCGAACGGUGGCACUGAGCGGCAUUUUCAGAGAUACAGCUCUGUGGUAUGCAGUGUUGUGGCUGGUGGCUGUUUCCAGACCCUUUGCCAUGUCCCCAGGUGCAGGCUACCACAUGUAUGGGAUUAUGGCAGUGGUUGCAGUGUCACAAGAUGGAGGUGACUGGGGGAGCCUCAUGUUGGUAGAUUAGGGUCCACAUAGGAGUGGCAGCCAGAAGUCCUGCACAUGGGCAAUGGCUGGGUGUCCAGCGUGGGAGCUGCGGCAGAAUUCCUGCUUGGGUGCUGAUGCCUGUGGUCCUACUCAGACACCUGGAGGUCCUGUGUGGGUGAGUGGCCAGGAGUCCUGCACUGACACUUAGGCCUGGAGACCUGCGCGAGCACAGCAGCCAUGAUUCCUGCACUUGAGCAGCUGUUGGAUGUCCUCUAAUAACUCACAGAGAAACAGUAUUUCCACUACUUGAAUCACAGGUCACAGAGCAACACAGAAUGCAGCCCCCUUGGGGCCCGCCAUCUUGGAACCUUCUCCCGAAUGGUUUUUGAAUACUAUGCACAAAGUUCUAUAAUUUAAGGCAGUAAAAUUUUAGAAAAUUAAAGUUUUACAAAGUAGACGAUUACUUAAAAAUAAAUAUGGUCAAGAUAGGUAGAUUUCAGGUAGACUUGGCAGCACACAAGUUUUCUUUUUGUUGUUAUUAAAUCAGGGUCUCAACUAUGUUGCCUCAAACUCUUAGGCUCCUGCCUCAGCCCUUGUUGGAAUAAGUUUUCAUACUCAAGUUUCAGGUAAAUCAUAAAUAAACAAUAGUGCUAUAACAUCAAACCACCUUGUAUGAUUGAUGUCCUUAUUGUCACACAAUCUCCUAGUUAAAUAGUAGAAGAGAUAGAAUCCUAUUAAUAAGUAAUAAUAACCAUAUCAAAUUAUGUAAUUAAUAUUUGUAGGAUAAUAGGUUUAAAUACAGAGGGCUUAUUUCCUAGGAAAAAAGGGAAUAAGAAUGUUUCUAAUAGCAAUUUAAGAGUUAAGAAUCUCAAAAUAACCAUUGCAUAUAAAAAGGUAUGUUUAUGCCAAGAAACAUUUUAUUUAUGUUCAGCACACACUUUUACUGAAAGUUCUAAGUAAUUCCUACAUUGAAAAUGUGUUCAUUUGGUAGGAAACUGAAGCUAAAUGAAGUAACUUUUCCUGAAAAACUCAUGGAGACCAUAAAUCUAAUAUCUAUGCAAUCACUCUAUAGUAAAUUAUUUCAUUAUGGUGGGGCAUUCCAUUAUAUAAUUGACAGGCUGAAAUUUGCUACAAAGUUAAAACUAUUAUAAGGAUUUGGAUGAUUACAAGUGGGUUUUUUUCCCCCUUUAAAAUCCAUAGCCAAAUAGUUGCACAUGUUGGAGUCAAUCAGUGAGUGUGCUCUCAAAAAAAUAAAAAUGAAGAGCUGGGGCUCAGUGGUAGAGCGCUUGCCUCACACAUAUGAGGCACUGGGUUCAAUCUACAGCACCACAUAAACAUAAAUUAGUAAACAGAUAUUGUGUCCAUCUACUACUAAAAAAAAUUUUUUAAUAAAAUUAAAAUGAAACUUUUAACUUCUCAGUGCUUAUUAAUGAUAAAAUGUAAACUUGCUUCUCUUUCAGUCUUCCUUUUUUAAGUAAAUUUAGUACCUAAGCCUGACCUGGAGAUCAUUCUCAAUUCUCUUUCUUGCCUACCAUCACCACCACAUCCACAUUCAGUUAGUGAUAGUUUCUGCAGGUUUGCCCUCUUAAAAAUUCUUCCCCCCUUCUCAGCCUACAAGAUUAAAAAAUGAAUCUUCAAAUCAAUUCCUAGCCUCCCUUGAAGCCAGGAAUAGCCAUCUGGCACGAUUCUGGCCAGCAAUUUAAAGCAAAAUUCUUAUCCUUUAAAAACAUAAUUCUGAUUAAAAAAAUUGGGUUAGGUACCAAAGUUUUAUUUAACUCAGUGAGGGAGGGAAACAGCAGGAAGAAAAAAAUCUAAAUGUUUAAAUGGUAAUAUUAAAAAUUUGGAAAUUGUUGUUUUUAUAAUGAGUGGAAGAAAAAAAAAGGAGUGCUGAGAUAAGAUCACUAAAUUAGGUACAAAAGUGGUUCAAGUCCUGUGGGGGAGGACAAACCAGAAUCUUUAAGGUUAUCCUUUCUACUGAACAGAAAAAAAAAAUUAUCCCCACUCAUCUAUUUCAUUGGAGUUAGCCUCUAACUGUAGAGUUGUUUGUUAUGUAAAUAUGUGAGCUUAAACCAUAGGAAGUACUGUGUUAGAAUUACCUUCCCUGGAGAAUUAAAUGACUGCUUAGCAGACUUUUUUUUUUUUUUAAACACUGGAGUUGGAACCCAGGUGCACUCUACCACUAAGCUACAUCCCCAGCCCUUUUUAUUUUGAGACAGGGUUUUCAAGGGUCUUGCUAAGUUGCUGAGGCUGGCCUCAAACUUGCAAUCCUCCUGCCUUAGCUUCUGGAAUCACUGGGAUUGCAGGUAUGUGCCACUGUGCCUGGCUUGGCAGCUUCUUAAACAGUGCUAUUGCAUGACAUUAAUUAAUUAAUUAAUUAUUUCCAAGUUUUGAAUAUUUUCCUCCAUAAUUAUAAUAGUAGACACUGAACUUUAUACAGAGUUAAAGCUUCUUCCCUUCUCUGCAUUAUUCUCUAUUAUUACUUCAGGGACAUUUGCUGGGAAUUUGAAGCUCUAGUGUUAAUCUAACUUACUUUUCCAGAUUUAACAUGCUCUGGUCUUAACACAAUGAUGUUUUCUAUUGUCAGUAUCAAGAAAAGUAUAAGUAGAUACAGCAAGUAAUGAAUCUAUUCUAAUCAAAUCUACUUUUUGUCUGCAGAGGGGCUGAAACCAGGUGAACCUUUUGAUUUCCAAACUUCAGACUUUGGUGUAAGCUAGUCAAAUGAGGAUGCAAAUUUCAGCACUGUGAAACCAACAGAAACAUAAAAGAACUCAAAGAAACGAACAUCUCUUGCACCAAGUCUACACUCUCAAAACCAAUCCAUGUCCUCUGUAACCACACAAUAAAGAGUUUGGGAAUUAUAUUUUAUGUUUUGAAGGCCCAUAUGCAAUACUUGGGAGCCUGAAGUCCAAGCCAGUUGUGGCAGUUGCAGAGUGCUUAUUCCAUAUUCAAAUGCUUUAUAAAGAAGGAAGAGACCCACCCACAAAAAUGGGGUCCUAAUUAGAAUAAGAUAUAUCCUAUGUUUGUAUAAUUUUAUCAAAAUGGAUUCUACUAUCAUGUAUAAGUAAGUAGAACUGAUAAAACAAAAUUUACAAAAAAAGAAGGAAGAGAAUGAGUCUGAUCUCUUGAAUAUUAUGCCUAAUAAAGGAAUAGAAAAUACUUUUGUUGCAGUCCUACACAAAGCAGAAGACUUACAGAUGGCAUGAAGAAGGUAAAAGUUUAUCCAUAUACUUUUUUAGUUUUUCUUAGCAGGUUUUAUGUUUCCAUUUCUCAAUAAUAUAAUUUCUUUCUACAAGAAUUAUAGAUUUUGGGGCUGGGGUUGUGGCUCAGUGGUAGAGCGCUGACCUAGCAUGUGUGAGGUACUGGGUUCGAUUCUCAGCACCACAUAUAAAUAAAUGAAUAAAAUAAAAGUCCAUCAACAUCUUUUUUUUUCAAAAAAAGGAUUAUAGAUUUUUCAUAAUUACAAAUAAAAUUUGGUUUGAGAACAUGAUGUAAUGUUCCUUUACUUUAACUUUAGAUACUGGUUAGGAGUUUCCAAACAAAACUUUUUAGCUCUAAAAAUAAUUAUCGUGUUUUAUAAAAUAAAAAUACAGAGAGAAGUUCCAGUGCAGCCUUUGUGUUGCUUCCGACACUUUUACAAAUACUUGGACUUUUUCCUCCUUUAGGUUUGGGGUGAAUGUGUAGCCAAUGAUAGUUACUUUUAAAAUAGACUCCUGUUAAAAGUGAAGGAUGGAAGAGAGGGCUAAGUUUCUUUUUUAAUUAGAAAUUGAGAUAUUAUUACCUUAUUAUUGAGGCAAACCAUUUAAAAAUCUUGACUCUCAUUCUUUGCUAGAUUUUAAUAUGUUAUACAUAUUAACAUAAUGUAGUAUUGUUACUGAUUAGAAUUCCUUAAAGGAGUUUUUUUUCCCCACUGAUAUUAACUUAAAGAAAAAUUGUAAUAAGGUUGUACAUGCUUAAUUAUAAAUUAAGCAUCUUUGGUUAUAGAGAUAAUUUGGCUAACAACUGAUAGACAUCAUUCCUUCCUAUAUUGUCUUGGGCAUCUAGUAUUUAUGUAUGAAAAAAGUUAUUUCUUUAUGUUUGAGGUGAUGACAUUUCUUAACUGUACCAGCAGAGAAAACAGUUUGUUCUUCAUUAUUGUAUUUACUGAAGAAAUAAAGGCAGGCUGGGGAUGUGGCUCAAGUGGAUAGCAUGCUUGCCUAGCAUGUGUGAGGCAUGGGGUUCAAUUCUCAGCACUACAUAAAAAUAAAAUAAAGAUAUUGUGUCUACUUAAAACUAAAAAAACUAAAAAAGAAA